rnacentral:rRNA from 1 species
GUGGGGAAUUUUGCGCAAUGGGCGAAAGCCUGACGCAGCGACGCCGCGUGGGUGAUGAAGGUCUUCGGAUCGUAAAACCCUGUCAUGCGGAACGAAAUGCAUCAUCUCUAACAGAGAUUAUGCUUGACGGUACUGCAGGAGGAAGCCCCGGCCAACUACGUGCCAGCAGCCGCGGUAAUACGUAGGGGGCAAGCGUUAUUCGGAAUUACUGGGCGUAAAGCGCGUGUAGGCGGCUAGGCAAGUCAGGUGUGAAAUCCCUUGGCUUAACCAAGGAACUGCGCUUGAAACUGCCUGGCUUGAGUGCGGGAGAGGGGAGUGGAAUUCCCAGUGUAGCGGUGAAAUGCGUAGAUAUUGGGAGGAACACCGGUGGCGAAGGCGGCUUCCUGGACCGCCACUGACGCUGAGACGCGAAAGCUAGGGGAGCAAACGGGAUUAGAUACCCCGGUAGUCC